rnacentral:tRNA from 1 species
GGCUCAGAGGUUAAAGUGCCUGCCUGCAAUGCAGGAGACCUGGGUUCGAUCCCUG